rnacentral:rRNA from 1 species
GACAGAGGUGCCGAGCGUUAGGCGGAAUCACUGGGCUUAAAGCGUGUGUAGGCGGAUCGUUAAGUACCUUGUGAAAUCCCACGGCUUAACCGUGGAACUGCUUGGUAUACUGGCGAUCUUGAGCCACCUAGGGGCAACCGGAACAAAUGGUGGAGCGGUGGAAUGCGCAGAUAUCAGGAGGAACACCAACGGCGAAGGCAGCCCGCUGGGACGGUACUGACGCUAAGGCGCGAAAGCGUGGGGAGCGAACAGG